UCUCUGUUAGUAUAUCGGUUAGUACACGCGCCUGUCAUGUCUUACUGGCCGCGCGAAAGCGGGGUUCGACUCCCCGACAGAGAG